GAUGAGGAACGCAGUGAAAUGCGAUACGUAAUGUGAAUUGCAAAUUCAGUGAAUCAUCGAGUCUUUGAACGCACAUUGCGCCCCCUGGUAUUCCGGGGGGCAUGCCUGUCCGAGCGUCAUUGCUGCCCUCAAGCACGGCUUGUGUGUUGGGCCCCGUCCUCCGAUCCCGGGGGACGGGCCCGAAAGGCAGCGGCGGCACCGCGUCCGGUCCUCGAGCGUAUGGGGCUUUGUCACCCGCUCUGUAGGCCCGGCCGGCGCUUGCCGAUCAACCCAAAUUUUUAUCCAGGUUGACCUCGGAUCAGGUAGGGAUACCCGCUGAACUUAAGCAUAUCAAUAAGCGGAGGA
rnacentral:misc_RNA from 1 species